rnacentral:lncRNA from 1 species
GUGUUGCAAGUCUAUUCAGAAUAGAGGGUGAAUCAAGUAUAGAGCUAGAUGGCACUUCCUUACCUCCCCUCGUCUUAGAGGUAACAAUCUUGGUUCUUGGAUCUCUCAUAUUCUUCAUAGUGAUCAAUAAAUAGAUAUCCUAAGUGAUUCAGCAAAUAUAGCUAUGCUCCCCGACAAAAGCGCCAGAAAAUGUUCUUGAUAACCCACAAGUAUAUGGGAUUGGAAUAGUUUUCAGUGGUAGAGUAUUCAACCCUAAUUUAUAGAUUCGACACAAGGGGAGUCAAAGAAUAUUUGCAGGUAUUAGCAGCUGAGUUGUCAACUCAACCACACUUGAAGAUUUAGUAUUUGCAGCACAGUGAUCAGUAGCAUAGUAAUAAGAUAGUUUUGAUACAAGUGGUAACAGUUGCACUACAAGAAAUAUGUCAACUAACGACCUUCAAUAUUGGUCACCGAAUGGUCAUUGAUUUCCAUUUGCGACCUUUUUAGACCAAAAACAAACGGUCAAAAGCUGAGGGUCUCUAAUGAACUAUAACGACCUUUUUGAUGGAUUGGUCGUAGGAUUUUACGACCAAAGGAAAGCAUUGAAAUAAUUUUGGUCACUAGCAAUCUGCCCACGCCACGUCGGAUCUGACAUGGCAAGCUGACGUGGCAUAGAAUUAGCCCGGUCCAAUUUGGUGUUUUAAAUGGGCCGAGCCCAUUAAUCCAGCCCAUUUAAUGUUUUUUUCUCUUUAUUGUGCUUAGCUGCAUGGGCCUGUCCCAAUAAUCCCCAACAUUUUAGCCGUUUUUAUUUUGGGUUGUGGCCUUUUACUUUCUAUUGAUUUCUUUUUUGUUCAUUUUAUUUUUGUACUGGUCCCACUAGUCACAUUGGUCCCACAUGUCAUGCUGAUCUCAUAAUUCGCAUCGACACCAUAAAUUUUGUAAUUUGUCAGACAAUUUGUGAGGUUUCCAUUUCAUAGGUAUACAAAUCACAUACGAAAUCAAUAUUUUGAACAGAUCACAGAACAAAUGAAAUUCGUCCAAAAAACACUAAAUUAGUCUAUUACAAUCUUUACACUACUACAACUCAAAUAUGCCUACUACACCCUACUAUCACAAUACAUGAUAUGCUACUCUUUGCAUAUAGGCUUCACGACCUAUGCUUCACGACCUCACGCUUGGCUUCACAUUUCAAUAUUAGUCUAUUACAAACUUUAAAGUUUAUUACAAUAUUAAAAUAUUACAAUUUUUACCAUCUAUUAUAGUCAAAUAGAAUAAACAACUCUUUGCUGGAUAGGGCUUCACGACUUUGCACUUUUGUUCACGUUUUCACACUUCCCAAACAUCUCAGGCGUGGAGCUCCUCUAAAAGAGGAACCAGCUAAAAAAGUUACAUGCAACAUUAUUUGCUAUAGAUCAGCUUGCUGCAUAUUAAUCUAACGCUGCCUUCUACUUGCAGACUAGAAGUGUCCCAUCAUAUUCUAAACACUACAAUCAACACCAUGGCAGUAACAAAUUAACAGUAACAUGGCAUCAAUGGGGCACAACUUAGUUAGCUACUAAUGUUCAUCAAAUUUAAAGAUUGUAUGCUCUAGCUAAAAAAAAUAUAAUACCAUGCUUAGGAACUCAGAACGAGAAAAGUAUGUGCCGCUUAAGAGAUACCAAAAUCGAUACUGAUCAAGGAUAAAAACAUGUAGAUAUCAUAUAAUUCCCAUCACAAUCAUAGGCCCUGUUUGGAUACUCUAACUUGGCUAGAGGUUAGAGUUAGUUUCUAACUUUAGUCUAACCAUGAACUAACUCUAGCCUUUGGUGGUGUUUGGAUGCAAAGGUUAGUUUGACAAUAAAUGCAUUUUUUUCAAUCAUGUGUAUUUUUUAACCAGGAUUUGUUGUGCCCAGCUUUUGUGUAGGCCUGGUGCGGCCGGCGGGGCGAGCAAGGCGAGCGCGGCCGGGCGAGGCGAGCGCGGCCGGGCGGGGCGAGCAAGGC